GGAGAGGUGGCAGAGCGGUUGAAUGCACUGGUCUUGAAAACCAGCAGGGGUUAACGCCCCUCGUGGGUUCAAAUCCCACCCUCUCCGCCA
rnacentral:tRNA from 1 species